rfam:Shewanella benthica KT99 1099576005676, whole genome shotgun sequence.
UAAUUGAAGAGUUUGAUCAUGGCUCAGAUUGAACGCUGGCGGCAGGCCUAACACAUGCAAGUCGAGCGGAAACAGGAAGGUGCUUGCACCUUUGCUGUCGAGCGGCGGACGGGUGAGUAAUGCCUAGGGAACUGCCCAGUCGAGGGGGAUAACAGUUGGAAACGACUGCUAAUACCGCAUACGCCCUACGGGGGAAAGGAGGGGACGCGCUUUUCGAAGUACGCCUUUCGCGAUUGGAUGUACCUAGGUGGGAUUAGCUAGUUGGUAAGGUAAUGGCUUACCAAGGCGACGAUCCCUAGCUGGUCUGAGAGGAUGAUCAGCCACACUGGAACUGAGACACGGUCCAGACUCCUACGGGAGGCAGCAGUGGGGAAUAUUGCACAAUGGGCGCAAGCCUGAUGCAGCCAUGCCGCGUGUGUGAAGAAGGCCUUCGGGUUGUAAAGCACUUUCAGCGAGGAGGAAAGGUUGUAGUUUAAUAAACUGUAGCUGUGACGUUACUCGCAGAAGAAGCACCGGCUAACUUCGUGCCAGCAGCCGCGGUAAUACGAGGGGUGCAAGCGUUAAUCGGAAUUACUGGGCGUAAAGCGUACGCAGGCGGUUUGUUAAGCAAGAUGUGAAAGCCCCGGGCUCAACCUGGGAAUUGCAUUUUGAACUGGCAAACUAGAGUCUUGUAGAGGGGGGUAGAAUUUCAGGUGUAGCGGUGAAAUGCGUAGAGAUCUGAAGGAAUACCGGUGGCGAAGGCGGCCCCCUGGACAAAGACUGACGCUGAGGUACGAAAGCGUGG